rnacentral:rRNA from 1 species
AACGAACGCUGGCGGCACGCCUAACGCAUGCAAGUCGAACGAAGCAUAAGAGCUUGCUCUUAUGACUGAGUGGCGCACGGGUGAGUAACACGUGGGAAUCUGCCUAUUGGUGGGGAAUAACUUUUGGAAACGAAAGCUAAUACCGCAUAAGCCCUAAGGGGGAAAGAUUUAUCGCCAAUAGAUGAGCCCGCGCUAGAUUAGCUAGUUGGUGAGGUAAGAGCUCACCAAGGCUACGAUCUAUAGCUGGUCUGAGAGGAUGGUCAGCCACACUGGGACUGAGACACGGCCCAGGCUUCUACGGGAGGCAGCAGUGGGGAAUAUUGGACAAUGGGGGAAACCCUGAACCAGCGAUGCCGCGUGAGUGAAGAAGGCCUUCGGGUUGUAAAGCUCUUUCAGAGGGGAUGAUAAUGACGGUACCCUCAGAAGAAGCACCGGCUAACUUCGUGCCAGCCGCCGCGGUAA